UAGGGAAUCUUCGGCAAUGGACGAAAGUCUGACCGAGCAACGCCGCGUGAGGGAAGAAGGUUUUCGGGUCGUAAAACUCUUUUGUUAGAGAAGAACAAGGACGGUAUUAUCUGAACGUCCCCUGACGGUAUCUAACCAGAAAGCCCCGGCUAACUACGUGCCAGCAGCCGCGGUAAUACGUAGGUGGCAAGCGUUGUCCGGAAUUAUUGGGCGUAAAGCGUGCGCAGGCGGUUUCUUAAGUCGGAUGUGAAAGCCCCCGGCUCAACCGGGGAGGGUCAUUGGAAACUGGGGGACUGGAGUGCGGAAGAGGAGAGUGGAAUUCCAGGUGUAGCGGUGAAAUGCGUAGAUAUGUGGAGGAACACCGGUGGCGAAGGCGGCUCUCUGGACUGUUACUGACGCUGAGGCACGAAAGCGUGGGGAGCAAACAGG
rnacentral:rRNA from 1 species